rnacentral:rRNA from 1 species
CCUACGGGAGGCAGCAGUGAGGAAUAUUGGUCAAUGGACGAGAGUCUGAACCAGCCAAGUAGCGUGAAGGAUGACUGCCCUAUGGGUUGUAAACUUCUUUUAUAUGGGAAUAAAAUGUUCCACGUGUGGGCUUUUGUAUGUACCAUAUGAAUAAGGAUCGGCUAACUCCGUGCCAGCAGCCGCGGUAAUACGGAGGAUCCGAGCGUUAUCCAGAUUUAUUGGGUUUAAAGGGAGCGUAGGUGGAUUGUUAAGUCAGUUGUGAAAGUUUGCGGCUCAACCGUAAAAUUGCAGUUGAAACUGGCAGUCUUGAGUACAGUAGAGGUGGGCGGAAUUCGUGGUGUAGCGGUGAAAUGCUUAGAUAUCACGAAGAACUCCGAUUGCGAAGGCAGCUCACUGGACUGCAACUGACACUGAGGCUCGAAAGUGUGGGUAUCAAACAGGAUUAGAUACCCUUGUAGUC